rnacentral:rRNA from 1 species
UGGUGGAGUGAUUUGUCUGGUUAAUUCCGAUAACGAACGAGACCUUAACCUGCUAAAUAGUCACGCUCAGUUUUACUGGGUGCUUGACUUCUUAGAGGGACUAUAGACGUUUAGUCUAUGGAAGUUUGAGGCAAUAACA